UGGGGAAUCUUGGACAAUGGGGGAAACCCUGAUCCAGCCAUGCCGCGUGAGUGAUGAAGGCCCUAGGGUUGUAAAACUCUUUCGGCGGGGACGAUAAUGACGGUACCCGCAGAAGAAGCUCCGGCUAACUUCGUGCCAGCAGCCGCGGUAAUACGAAGGGGGCUAGCGUUGUUCGGAAUUACUGGGCGUAAAGCGCGCGCAGGCGGUUCUUCAAGUCAGAGGUGAAAGCCCAGAGCUCAACUCUGGAAUGGCCUUUGAGACUAGAGAACUAGGGUACGGGAGAGGUGAGUAGAAUUCCGAGUGUAGAGGUGAAAUUCGUAGAUAUUCGGAAGAACACCAGUGGCGAAGGCGGCUCACUGGCCCGUUACCGACGCUCAGGCGCGACAGCGUGGGGAGCAAACAGGAUUAGAUACCCUGGUAGUCCACGCCGUAAACGAUGGAUGCUAGCCGUUGGUAAGCAUGCUUAUCAGUGGCGCAGCUAACGCAUUAAGCGUCCCGCCUGGGGAGUACGGCCGCAAGGUUGA
rnacentral:rRNA from 1 species